rnacentral:rRNA from 1 species
GACGAACGCUGGCGGCGUGCUUAACACAUGCAAGUCGAACGGAAAGGCCCUGCUCUUGUGGGUUGCUCGAGUGGCGAACGGGUGAGUAACACGUGAGUAACCUGCCCUUGACUUUGGGAUAACUUCAGGAAACUGGGGCUAAUACCGGAUAGGAUCUCCUGCUGCAUGUUGGGGGUUGGUAAGUUUCGGCGGUUGGGGAUGGACUCGCUGCUUAUGAGCUUGUUGGUGGGGUAGUGGCUUACCAAGGCUUUGACGGGUAGCCGGCCUGAGAGGGGGACCGGGCACAUGGGGACUGAGAUACGGCCCAGAAUCCUACGGGAGGCAGCAGUGGGGAAUAUUGCACAAUGGGCGGAAGCCUGAUGCAGCAACGCCGCGUGCGGGAUGACGGCCUUCGGGUUGUAAACCGCUGUCGCAUGUGACGAAGCGUGAGUGACGGUAAUGGGUAAAGAAGCACCGGCUAACUACGUG